CGCGGGGUGGAGCAGCUCGGUAGCUCGUCGGGCUCAUAACCCGAAGGUCGCAGGUUCAAAUCCUGCCCCCGCAA
rfam:Saccharibacillus sacchari DSM 19268 genomic scaffold SacsacDRAFT_Scaffold1.1, whole genome shotgun sequence.